ACCGUAUUUAUUGUAUUGAACGGUCAGCACAAAACCUUCAAAAAUUGCCUAGUGCCCCUUGGCUAAAUGUUUGGAGAGGAGAAGUUGAUAUAUUUUAAAGAAUGUUUUGUUAAUGAAAAGGGUACAUAUUUUUGUUUAAAUCAGAAACAAAUUUCAAUUAUUUUAUAUUUCUGUUCUACAACUCUACUUAAAAUAAAAAAAUUGCGGAUAUGCCUGGGUUCCACAGAUGUAAACUAGCAGCCUUAUCACGUGUACCGCAUGAUUGUGGUGGAUAUAGUUAAACUCAGUCCCAAGAGUCUAAUGUCUUGGUUUGGCAUGCACUUAGUCAGUUCAUCACCACUGAAUGUGUGCAGUCAGCCUUAUUCCACACUAUUCCAUAAACACCUAGAAUUGGCCCUGGAAAUGUUAUUACAGAAGGAAGUGAUCAUUUUUAAAAUCAAGCUACCUUCAGGUUAAUUUUCAACAUCGCUUUUUUUUUUUUUUUUUUUCGCUUUUUUUUACUUGCUGCAUUAAAAGCCCCAAAUGUGGAUCAUAAGAGAAUUUUACUUACCAAAGUUUAAAAAAUAUUGUAAUAGGAACUUCUGUUGAAAACUUGGCGAUUUGCACAAUAAGAACUUCUUGGAGAAAAUGCAGUUCCCUCUGCAUUUUUCUUUAGUGAUGAGUGAAGUAUUGCAAUAUAGAAUUAUGAGAGCAUUACUGAAUACAUGUAUUAUAAAAUUGAUACUAUUAUAAACAAAAUCUGAAGCUA
rnacentral:lncRNA from 1 species